CGCGGGGUAGGGUAACGGUAACCCGUCAGGCUCAUAACCUGAAAAUUGCCGGUUCGAUUCCGGCCCCCGCAACCA
rnacentral:tRNA from 1 species